UACGUAGGGUGCGAGCGUUGUCCGGAAUUAUUGGGCGUAAAGAGCUCGUAGGCGGUUUGUCGCGUCGGCCGUGAAAACUUGGGGCUUAACCCCAAGCCUGCGGUCGAUACGGGCAGACUUGAGUUCGGCAGGGGAGACUGGAAUUCCUGGUGUAGCGGUGAAAUGCGCAGAUAUCAGGAGGAACACCGGUGGCGAAGGCGGGUCUCUGGGACGGUACUGACGCUGAGACGCGAAAGCGUGGGGAGCGAACAGG
rnacentral:rRNA from 1 species